rnacentral:rRNA from 1 species
GACGAACGCUGGCGGCGUGCUUAACACAUGCAAGUCGAACGGUGAAAGCGGAGCUUGCUCCGCUGGAUCAGUGGCGAACGGGUGAGUAACACGUGGGCAACCUGCCCCAGACUUCGGGAUAACUCCUCGAAAGAGGUGCUAAUCCUGGAUACGAAGACACCAGGCAUCGGCGGGCUUGGAACGGUUUUCGGUCUGGGAUGGGCCCGCGGCCGAUCAGCUUGUUGGUGAGGUAACGGCUUACCAAGGCGACGACGGGUAGCCGGCCUGAGAGGGCGACCGGCCACACUGGGACUGGGACACGGCCCAGACUCCUACGGGAGGCAGCAGUGGGGAAUAUUGCGCAAUGGGCGAAAGCCUGAUGCAGCAACGCCGCGUGAGGGAUGACGGCCUUCGGGUUGUAAACCUCUUUUAGUAGGGAAGAAGCGAAAGUGACGGUACCUGCAGAAAAAGCACCGGCUAACUACGUGCCAGCCGCCGCCGUAA